UACGUAGGGAGCAAGCGUUGUUCGGAUUUACUGGGCGUAAAGGGCGCGUAGGCGGUCAGCACAAGUCAGUUGUGAAAUCUCCGGGCUUAACUCGGAAAGGUCAACUGAUACUGUGCGACUAGAGUGCGGAAGGGGCAACUGGAAUUCUCGGUGUAGCGGUGAAAUGCGUAGAUAUCGAGAGGAACACCUGCGGCGAAGGCGGGUUGCUGGGCCGACACUGACGCUGAUGCGCGAAAGCCAGGGGAGCGAACGGG
rnacentral:rRNA from 1 species